UACAGAGGUCCCGAGCGUUGUUCGGAUUCACUGGGCGUAAAGGGUGCGUAGGUGGUGGGGUAAGUCGGAUGUGAAAUACUGGAGCUUAACUCCGGAACGGCAUUGGAAACUACCCUGCUGGAGGGUCGGAGGGGGGACUGGAAUACUCGGUGUAGCAGUGAAAUGCGUAGAUAUCAAGUGGAACACCUGUGGCGAAGGCGAGUCCCUGGACGACACCUGACACUGAGGCACGAAAGCUAGGGGAGCAAACAGG
rnacentral:rRNA from 1 species